UACGGGGGGGGCAAGCGUUGUUCGGAAUUACGGGGCGUAAAGGGCUCGUAGGCGGCCAACUAAGUCAGACGUGAAAUCCCUCGGCUUAACCGGGGAACUGCAUCUGAUACUGGAUGGCUUGAGUUCGGGAGAGGGAUGCGGAAUUCCAGGUGUAGCGGUGAAAUGCGUAGAUAUCUGGAGGAACACCGGUGGCGAAGGCGGCAUCCUGGACCGACACUGACGCUGAGGAGCGAAAGCCAGGGGAGCAAACGGG
rnacentral:rRNA from 1 species